GACGGACGCUGGCGGCGUGCCUAACACAUGCAAGUCGAGCGAUGAAGCUCCUUCGGGAGUGGAAUAGCGGCGGACGGGUGAGUAACACGUGGGUAACCUGCCUCAUAGAGGGGAAUAGCCUUCCGAAAGGGAGAUUAAUACCGCAUAACAUAACUUUAUCGCAUGGUAGAGUUAUCAAAGGAGCAAUCCGCUAUGAGAUGGACUCGCGGCGCAUUAGCUAGUUGGUGAGGUAACGGCUCACCAAGGCGACGAUGCGUAGCCGACCUGAGAGGGUGAUCGGCCACAUUGGAACUGAGACACGGUCCAGACUCCUACGGGAGGCAGCAGUGGGGAAUAUUGCGCAAUGGGGGAAACCCUGACGCAGCAACGCCGCGUGAGUGAAGAAGGCCUUAGGGUUGUAAAGCUCUGUCAUAUGGGAAGAUAAUGACGGUACCAUAAGAGGAAGCCACGGCUAACUACGUGCCAGCAGCCGCAGUAA
rnacentral:rRNA from 1 species